UACGUAGGGUGCGAGCGUUGUCCGGAAUUAUUGGGCGUAAAGGGCUCGUAGGCGGUUUGUCGCGUCGGGAGUGAAAACUCAGGGCUUAACCCUGAGCCUGCUUCCGAUACGGGCAGACUAGAGGUAUGCAGGGGAGAACGGAAUUCCUGGUGUAGCGGUGAAAUGCGCAGAUAUCAGGAGGAACACCGGUGGCGAAGGCGGUUCUCUGGGCCGUAACUGACGCUGAGGAGCGAAAGCGUGGGGAGCGAACAGG
rnacentral:rRNA from 1 species